rnacentral:rRNA from 1 species
UACGAAGGGGGCUAGCGUUGUUCGGAAUUACUGGGCGUAAAGGGCGCGUAGGCGGCCGAUCAAGUUAGAUGUGAAAGUCCUGGGCUUAACCUGGGGACUGCAUUUGAUACUGAUUGGCUUGAAUUCGGGAGAGGAUAGCGGAAUUCCCAGUGUAGAGGUGAAAUUCGUAGAUAUUGGGAAGAACACCGGUGGCGAAGGCGGCUAUCUGGACCGACAUUGACGCUGAGGCGCGAAAGCGUGGGGAGCAAACAGG